rnacentral:rRNA from 1 species
GUGGGGAAUUUUGGACAAUGGGCGCAAGCCUGAUCCAGCAAUGCCGCGUGCAGGAAGAAGGCCUUCGGGUUGUAAACUGCUUUUGUACGGAACGAAACGGUCCUGGUUAAUACCUGGGGCUAAUGACGGUACCGUAAGAAUAAGCACCGGCUAACUACGUGCCAGCAGCCUCGGUAAUACGUAGGGUGCGAGCGUUAAUCGGAAUUACUGGGCGUAAAGCGUGCGCAGGCGGUGCUGUAAGACAGGCGUGAAAUCCCCGGGCUCAACCUGGGAAUUGCGCUUGUGACUGCAGUGCUGGAGUACGGCAGAGGGGGAUGGAAUUCCGCGUGUAGCAGUGAAAUGCGUAGAUAUGCGGAGGAACACCGAUGGCGAAGGCAGUCCCCUGGGCCUGUACUGACGCUCAUGCACGAAAGCGUGGGGAGCAAACAGGAUUAGAAACCCCUGUAGUCC